CGCGUAGGCGGCCAUGCGUGUCUUCCGUGAAAUCCCUCGGCUUAACUGAGGACGUGCGGAAGAAACUGCAAGGCUCGAGUCCGGGAGAGGGGGGUGGAAUUCCCAGUGUAGCGGUGAAAUGCGUAGAUAUUGGGAGGAACACCGGUGGCGAAGGCGGCCCCCUGGACCGGUACUGACGCUGAUGCGCGAAAGCGUGGGUAGCAAACG
rnacentral:rRNA from 1 species